rnacentral:tRNA from 1 species
AUUUAUAUAGUAUAAAAAUUAUAAUUGACUUCCAAUCAAAAGAUCUAACUUUUUUUAGUAUAAAUA